rnacentral:rRNA from 1 species
AACGAACGCUGGCGGCAUGCCUAACACAUGCAAGUCGAACGAGAGCUUCGGGUCUAGUGGCGCACGGGUGCGUAACGCGUGGGAACCUGCACUUAGGUUCGGAAUAACUCCCCGAAAGGGGUGCUAAUACCGGAUAAUGUCUUCGGACCAAAGAUUUAUCGCCUUUGGAUGGGCCCGCGUUGGAUUAGCUAGUUGGUAGGGUAAAAGCCUACCAAGGCGACGAUCCAUAGCUGGUCUGAGAGGAUGAUCAGCCACACUGGGACUGAGACACGGCCCAGACUCCUACGGGAGGCAGCAGUGGGGAAUAUUGGACAAUGGGCGAAAGCCUGAUCCAGCAAUGCCGCGUGAGUGAUGAAGGCCGUAGGGUUGUAAAGCUCUUUUACCCGGGAUGAUAAUGACAGUACCGGGAGAAUAAGCUCCGGCUAACUCCGUG